UUUGGCCAUGCGGAGGACUGUCGCACCAGCAUAGCAGCCAGCUUCAUAGAUCAUGGUUCUGGUGACGGAUGGAUCAAGGCCGAGGAGCUUGAUUAAUUGGAAGUCACAACCUGGCAUGUCAACGCAAGAAGCUGUGCAAAAGAUGAGGUGGGUGAUUUUUGAAAUGGGCUGGCCCCACUCUUUGAUGGCUUUCAAUGCUGCUUCUUGCCCUAGCUUUGGGACCUCAAUGUUACAAAUGUCUUGGCGCACAUCGAGUGAUGGGGCUCCAUAGGUGUAUAUGUUUGGGUUAGCUUUCAACAUCUCUUCUGUUAGAUGCAAGUAGCGCUUCUUUGUUCUUGAUUUCUCACCUAUUAAUUAGUAAAUUAAGUUAGGAUAUGCUUUAUAUCAUUCUUCAUCAAAUAAUACAAUGUAAUCUGAAGAAAACCUGCAACAAAAAAAAUGCACAUAUAUAUAUAUAUGUAUAUAUCUUUCACAUGUCCAAGAUGACUAUUUUCUUGUGCUAAUAACAGUAUGCUUUGAAAUAAACACGCCGUGUGGCGCCUUGGGUUUGGGAUAUCAUCCAUUUUAACCUCAUAAUAUGAUAGAGUUGGAGUUUACAACUCAAGAUCAAAGUCAAUUCAUUGAGAGGUAAAAAUCUUUCAUAUGAUUUCAUGCAUGAUAUGUUUUAUUAGUCAUAAAAUAUAAGGUAACCUGGUGGAUGCUCAUUAUAUAUGUGCACGAGUAGUAAAAAGUACACUUACAAAUGCGAUCGAACUUCUCUCUUAAAUCUGUUCUGUGCUCAUUUUUGGUAACUCGAAACAAGAAAUCAGGAUAAUCCUUUUGGUGGUAGACGUUGGGUGGAUUUGCAGUGCCAAUGGCUAGGAUUUUGGCAUGUUGAGGCUCAUUCUUAACCAAAGGCGCCAUUAAGCUAGUUAAAGAGCAGAUAUAAAGUAGGGAUUUGUUGAAACUUGAAAAGAGAGGGGAAUUGAAAGGUUGCGAUAAAAUGAAUGGCACUACCCCAUUCCUUAUAUAGCAAUUAGAGAACCUACUAACUUGUGGAAUCUUCAAGGUUAGGAUAUUUUAAAAUGCACAUAAAUACUAUACAAUUCAUUAUUUCUCUUGGGAGGGUCCAACAUGUUACAAUUUGAAAGUUUCAAACUUUUGUAUACACGCACGUAAUUCAGUGUUUUUAUUUUUUUAUAUUUUUUUUUAGAAUAUGUUGGCGUCUAUUUAUAAUUAAUUUUAUAGUAUUAUAAAAUAUGUUUUGAUUCUAUCAUACAUAUAUAUGUGUGUUUGUCUAUACGACAAAAUAGUUGUACUCACAUGUGAGAGAAAUUUUUAGUUGUAAUGGGAACACGGAUGGUACACCACGUGUUUUUAUGUAAGUGGUGGGAAAUAUUAUUUUUUAAGAUAUUAACAUUUUAACACACAUAUCUCACUAUUUAUAUAACGACACGUGGUGUAUCAUUCCGUGUGACGGUCGCACUGCAAAAUCUCUCCACAUGUGGAAGGGGUUGGUGGAAAUCUUUGGAUUCAAGCUCACGGUGCUCCUCUGGAAUCUGCAACCGAUUUGAACGGAAUAUUUAAUAGAGUUUGAUGAAAAUGAUUAUUGUUUUACUGUUUUACAAGUUCAAGAACUCACACUCUAAUUAGGUUAAACUUCAUGAUUCAUUGCUCUAAUUUUUUUUUAUUGUUUUUUUAUUGUGAUUAUGAAGUGCUCUUGACAUUUCAAAACAUCACUAUCCACUCCUCCAGAGUGAAAAAAAAAAUGAACAAGAGUUAGAUGACUUUUUCUUAUUACGACUAGCAACAAUUCUUUAAGUUAUCAUAUGAAUUAUUUUGAGUGAGUGAGAAAAUAAAUUAUGGUAAAAAAUAGGCCAAGGUUUUUUUUUAUGGACAAUAAUAGGCCAAAGUUCAAAGGCUUUGCAUUGUAACAAAAUGAAUUACUUUCGCACCAAAGGCUGCGGAACAAACAUGAGACUUUGGAGAAAUUUUGAGGAGUUCCCUGCACUUGUUUUAGGUGUUGUUUCCUACGUGUGAGAAGUUAACAUCUAAAUUUAUUUAAUUAAAAAGAAAGAAAAAAAAUUUAAGUAUCAACUUUCUAUUGGCGAGAACACCACAUAACAGAAGUGCUAGGAACUCUUAAGAAUUUCUUGAGACUUUGAAAGGUUGAUUAAUGAUAAGGAGAACACUUUAUUUUAACCACCGUAUAUUACAUGUAAAUGUCAUUAUAGUCUAGUGAUAUUCUUCUUCACUUGCAAGUGAAAGGUUUUAGGUUCGAUUAUCGCCAAAUGUCAAUUUGAACCUUAUUAUUACUAAUCCAUUGUGAAGCUUAACCCAUUCUCAUAUUUUCUUAGUAUAGAUAAUAACUUCUGUUUAAAAAUAAAAUGUCACAUCAUUAAAAUUAAUGAGGCAAUACUUUAAUAUGUAUUUUAUUUUAAGUUAACAUAUAUAAUUUAUUCCAACAAGUCUUGCUUCUAGUUUCAUCUCCAACCCCGUCAGCCACCCACCCCCAUCCCCAUCGUAAUCGAUCUCCCCGGUGAACCACUUUGGUGCCUUUUUCUCUUAACGCUAUGUUCCUUAUCACUUCCAUUUGUUACUCUCUCAUUAGAUAGUCUAGGUUUUAAAUAAUUGAAAAUGCCUAGGGAUUUUUUAGACUGAACACCAACCCAUGUAUCAUGAGGAAAUAACAUUACGUCAAAUCGAGGGACUGCAAGAGAGAGAGUAGCCUGCAAGGGCUGACGCCGUCGACAGAGGGUAAGAGGAAGGCAGCUGAUGGGUUGGAACAAGGAUUUUCUCCUUUUUUUUUAUUCCUCUCCUUCCCUCUCCCCUUGUUUGAAUGCUCAUGAUUUCAUCUAGUAAACAGAGAACGAAGAAAAAAGUAAAGAGAGAAGGAAGAAAAAAAACUAUGAGAGAAGGGGAGGGAGGGGAGGGAAAAAGAGAGGAGCGAGUUCCCAUCCGAUGGAUUGGCCAAGGUUGUUGGGGACAUCGUAAAUGGCAGGAAGGUUGGUGCUAGGGUUUUCCACGCUUUGUUUAGAAAUUGCGAUUAAAAAAUUAAAACAAAUUUAAUCACAUAAAAAUGACUUCCCAUGCCUCAUAGAUGAUUUAUAAUUAUGGUUUAAAAAGAUGAUAGCCCUGCUACUUAGUAUUACGGUCUAAAUGUAUUUUUCUUCACUUGUAAAGGAGAUGUCUUAGGUUCGAUUUUUGUCAAAAACGAAUUUGAAUCACAUUAUUGCUAGCUCUUCUGAGACCUAACCCACCACGUUCCUUUUAGUGUAGAUAAUAUAUUUUGGUAAAAAAAAAAAAAAAAAAAUUGUAGCUCUAGCAUUUUUAUCUUGAAAAAGGAACGCGGUCCUCUUUCAACUUGUAAUGAAGCACAUCUCUAUUUGUUUUUAUUUGUUUCUUUAAGCAAACUUAUUCAGGACAAUAACUAACUGUGAGAUGUUUUAGUAUUAAAUACUUGUAAGUAUUGUAGUUAAUUUCACACUUUUUCUCGUCUAUUUCACUACCAACGUUUCAAGUACCUAAUUUCGUGCAAAAAUAGAAAAAAAUUAAACUCAAUAUAGUGAAAUAAUUUCCUCCACCCACCCUUAAAGUGAAUAUAUAUCGUUGCAUAAAAAAAAUUGUAUACUUUCUUCUAUCCACCCCUUUAAGUAGAUAUGUCAUUGUAACAUCUCACAUCUAUGUAUAUUCUCAUCUCUACCUAGCACGAGACUUUCUAGGAACUCACACGAGAACUUCCCAGUGGGUCACCCAUCAUGGGAUUGCUCUCGCGCGAACUCGCUUAAAUUCGGAGUUCCGAUGGAACCCCCUAAGGGGGUCCAGGGGAGUGGAUCCUGUAAGCCUUAUAUGUAUAUUCUCAUCUCUACCUAGCACGAGGCUUUUUGGGAGCUCACUGGUUUUGGGUUCCAUUAGAACUCCGAAGUUGAGCGAGUUCGCGCAAGAGCAAUCCCAUGAUGGGUGACUCAUUGGGAAGUUCUCGUGUGGGUCUCCAGAAACAAAAUCGUGAGGGCAUGGUCGGGGUCCAAAGCGGACAAUAUCGUGUUACAGCAGAGUCGAGCCCGGGAUGUGGUGAGGCCCGGGCAGGGAUGUUAAACACAUUAAGUAUGGCUAUGUGAUGUCACUAUUUCACUUGGUGUUAUUAUUUUGUUUAAUUCAUAACAUGUGGAUCGAUGUUACCAUUUCACUCAAAUCAUAAAGUAUUUUUUAUUUAUUUAAGUCUAAGAGUUAAGUAUAUUAAUCAUGCAUAUCGUUGAUUCUUAUUAUGGCACAUAAAAUAAUACGAGGCCUGAUUAGAUAUUCCAAUAACCAUAAAAAUUUAUCCACCAACUAAAUAUUAUAAUCGCAUGAAGCACCACGACACCACAAAUUGCACUCCCCGCCUUACAAUGUGAUUCCAUAGUCCGCCAUCAUAUGUAUAAUUUUACUUUGACUUAUUCAGCUACCGUUUGUACCACUACAUGCAUGCAUAUAAGAUAACAUCUGUUUUUAUAUCAGUAUAGAAUAGCGCCGUUCUGAUAACGUAAUGCAUCUUAUUAUUGUUUUUUUUUUUUGAGUACAUUGAUAUUUUUACACUAAGAGGAGUGGGAGUUCGGUUAAGCCAUACGAUGAGCAACCUAAUUUGAUAUCGAAUUCAUCAUUCACGAGAUUCGAACCUAAGAAAGUGAAAAGGAAUACCACUAGACCGUAGCACUAAGUGACAUCUUACUACUGUUUGUUAAUUUUCUAAUUUAUAUAAAUAUAUAGGUGCUUGGCAUUUUUGGAAGUUACCUUAUUUUGAAAUAUAUGACCAUAAUGAAUAUUAAAACCAAUUGUAGUAGGUACAGUCCAUAUUGAAAACGGUAGGUUUAGAGUGCUGGCACUAAAUUUCUCUUAUCAUAUUGUUAUGGUCUUUAGUUUGAAACGUCUCGUUUUGAUUUUCUUUUUCAACGGCCUUUCCCGGUGGCUUACUCUUUUAUUUUUCUUUCUUCAUUUCAGUCAAUCGUCGAUGCAAUUUUUGGUUCUGAUGCAAAAGCAGUGGCUGUACUAAAACUUCCAGCACGUUUUGAAAUAAUUAAACAAAGACUUUCAUGUACAUUUGACAAAAAUACAUUCAUAUGUAAUGUACACCAAUUCUUCAAAUUGUUAACCAGAUGAAUGUACUGUGGACAACAACGGGCAAAUAUGGCUAUCUCUCUUCUAGUCUGCUUAGUCAAAAACAUUAUAUUCUUUUCUUGUAUGAUAAAAAUUUAAUAUUUGAUCAAACAAAACAAACAAUUUGCCUCGCAAGUCAUGACCACCAACCCAAAUCUCAUUGAAAGGCAGAGUCAUGCAUAAAGAAAAAAUAAAUAGAAGAGGAUAUAUAUGCAAAAGUUUAAGAAGGAAAAUUGUUAAAAUAUUCCUUGUUGAAUAGAGGUCCGGUCUUAGGAUUUUUUUUUGACCUCGAGCAACACAAGAAAAAUUUUACCUACGUUGUGAAACUAAUUUAAAAAGUGGGUGAGAGAGAGGGAAUGAUAGAAAGAGAGAAUGUAUUAUGUGUAUGAGAAUCGUAUUCAUCUCUUUGUUUUAUACCUUUAUCUCUACUAAUCACUACUAAUUAAUAAAACACUUAUUGUCAAUCAAAAUCCUAUGAAAUUACUAAUUUAACUCUCUAAUUAAAAUAGAAUAUGAAUAAGAAAUAUGGGGCAGAAAUGUAAUUUCACUCAACCAAAUUUUGUUGUUUUUUUUCUUCAAAGCCUCACCUACAAGUAAUCCUAACAAAUCUCUAAACUACUCCCACAUUCUCUAUCAGGGCGCGCGCUUACGUAACCGUAAUCAAAAUAGAGGAAUUGGAUUAAGGAGGAAUUGAAUUGAGGAGGAAUUGGAUUGAGGAGGAGUCAAAAUUGGAUUCCUGUUGAAGCUGUUUAUUUAAAUGUUCUGGAAUCGAAGUAAAAAUGAAACGAAAUUCAUAUAAGUUGUUUACUAAUUCACCUGAAUCGGAAUAGAAAUUAAUAUGAUUACUAAAAUGCCCUUAUUCUUUUAGUUUUAUUUCUUUCCCAUAUUUUUUUAAUAAUAUUUUCAUUAGUUAUUUUUAUUAAUUUGAUUAGAGUGAAGAGUUAAAAUGGGAGAGAGAGGGAGUUGUUUAUAUGCUGGAAAUGGUGAGGCGGUGAGUCAAGCAAACAGACUCUCAUAAUCACCACCCUCGCUUUCAUCUUCCCCAACAGAAGGUAAAAACUCCUCUUUCCCCUUUACCCCCUCACUUUCAUCUUUCCCACUCAACCUCCCCAUAAUCACCACCCCUCCUACCUGCCAAGUAUUUCAAUUUCAAGAUUUUCUAGGUUUUGAGUGAUUUCUUCACUGGAUUUAUGGGUUUAUUAUCUGGGGUUUGGGUUUUGUGAGACAGUGGCAGAGGAGUAAGGCAUGGCUACACGGGGAGAUGGAAGGUGUGGCGCAAACGAUGAAGGUGAAGUGCAUGAGCGAUGGAAAUGAGUACUGAAGGUGAAGGGCAUUUUGGGAAGAAUGAUUUGAUUCCGGAUGAAGCCUUCUCCUCGGAAUCCAAAUACUACCUUCGUCCAGGUAAUCCAAUUCUGGCAAUAUCAGGAAUUGAAUUCCUGAUUUUACGUGGGGCCCGCAGAACUGUGCAUUCAACUUAAGUUGGUAAACGAAGGAAUAAUCAGGAAUGAAGAAUGACUCCCAUUCCGCCAUAUCCUUUCCCCUUAUGUAAACACGCCAUCACUCUCUUCAUCUCUCCUUCUAUUUCAAAAACAAAAAUAAAAAAAUUUCUCACACACUUUGUGUGUGCCCAUAUGCUAGUUUAUAUUAAUCAUGAUGAUUUUUCUUGCUUUGCAAAUAAUACAAACCUAUGAGAAUUUGAUGUAAAAAUCCUAUUGAAAUUCUACUUGACGUUUACACAAUCACAUUCCUAAUUAAUAAUUAUGUUCAUAACACUCCCCCUUAAGUGUUUACAACUUAAAAAGUAGUUGUUGCAAUAAUUGCUACUACGGGUCUCAUAGUAGGGGGUGCAUAUCGAAAGAAAAGUCUCACAAAAAUCUUGCUAGGUAAUACAAUGGGUCUUAAGGAGAAAAAUGAGUUAUGUCAACGUUUCACAUCUUUAGGAUGACCUGGGGUAGUGUUUGGUACGCAGACGGGAUGGAACGGGACGGGACGGGACGGAACGGAACAGGACGGGACGGGACGAGACGGAAUAGAUGAUGUAAAUAUUGAAAAAGAUAAGGAGAAAUUUUGUCAUAAAAUGUUAUAAAUUUGUGUUCCACGGAUGUGGAACGGGUCGUUCUAGGGGGAAGAGGUGGAACGAAAAAUCAGCCAAAUUUCGUCCCAUGAGACAACCCGUUCCAUAGUUUUUAGGCGCACCAAACGUGGGACGGAACGACUCAUCCCGUUCCUUCCCGUCCCGUCCCACGUACCAAACGGUACCUUAAUGCACGCAAGGGUAUGGACAACCGAGUGUAAGUGCCUCAUUAAAACCUCAUCGGGUUAUUAAAUACCCUAUGGAAAAAAGUGCUCUUAAUUGUAGGAAAAGAUUACGUUAAGAUCAUUAGAGUAUACUUCAGGAUUCUCUCAUUGAGUUUGACAAAACUCCCUAAGAUAACUACCAAUAAUGCAAAUUUGAAAGUUUACACAAUCUAAUUCCAUGAGCAAGUUUCUAAAAAGUAUAAUUCGGCAAUGACUUCGUGAAUAGGCCAGCAAGAUUGUCUUGGCAUCAGAUCUACUUAACUUCGUUAUUUAGAUGUUGUUGCUGAUGAGUGAAGAAAAAACUUCGGAGCAAUAUGCUUGGUAUUGUCGCCUUUGAUGUAUCUUUUCUGUAAUUAGUUGAUAUAUGCAACGUUGUCUUCAUAACUCGUUGCGGGAUCAUCAAUAAUGGAAGAAAAAUCACAUGAGGUUCUUACGUGGCCAGUCACACCCCUCAACUAAAAGCAUUCACGCGAUGCUUCAUGUAAAGCAUGAAUCUCAAUGUGAUUUGAAGACACAGUAACUAACUCUUGUUUAGUUAAUCUCCAAGAUAUUGUGGUAUCUCCAAUGGUAAAGACAUAAAUUGCUUGAGAAUGUGUCUUAUAUGAGUCAGAUAAAUAACCAAUGUCAGCAUAACCAACAAGGAUGACAUCAUUUCAAGGAUGAGGGAGGUUGGAUGAUCGGCGAUGUGUGGGGAUAGAAUAAGCACAUAUCCAUUGUACCCCUAAGGUAACGUAUGAUGUAUUUAACAUAUGUCUAGUGUCUAUGUAUGGGUACAUUGUUGUAUCUUGUCAAAAGAUUAACAACAAAUGAGAUGUCUGGUCUAAUGCAUUGAGUCAAUUACAAUAAAGCUUUGUUUGCACUUAGGUAAGGAAAUUUAGCCCAUGAGAGUACUUGAAGGCUUCACUUUAACUUCAUUAAUGCAGUGCAACACCUUUUGGUUGUAGCUCAAUUAGUGGGCCAAUAUACCAUCCGAAUAAUGCUUUAUCUCCAGACCAAGAAAAUAUCUAGUUUACCCGAAAUCUUUCAUCUCAAAUUUCGGCUUUAGGUGUGUGACAAUUUUCUCAAACUCUUAAGGAGUCCCAAUGAGAUCCAGAUCAUCGACAUAGACUGCAACAAUUGCAAAUCCGGAAUAUGACUCCUUAAUGAAUACGCAAAAGCAUAACUUGUUAUUCACACAUCCUGACUAAUCAAAUACUUGCCAAGGCGGUUAUACCACAUCCUUCUGGAUUGCUUUAAUCCGAAAAUCGAAUGUCUUAAAUCUAAUAGAGAGUGUGUAAUGUGGUCAGAAACUAUUUAAGGCAGUCAAUACAAAGUCCUUGAUUGUAAAUUAAGGGUAUAGAUGGAAAGAUAAAUAUAGUUUUAUAAACUUUAAAUAUUUAAUUAGUGGAGUCGACAUGUUAAAAUUUGAAUUGGGAAUAUAAGUAGAGAAUGGUAAAUGGACCAAUUAUGAAUUUUUGUAUUUUGUUUGAAUAAUACUAAGGACCUGCAAAUGGAGGACCAACUAUUAGGUCGUAAAAAGUAAGUGUGAUCAAAUAUAUUGAACUCAUAAAUAAUAAUUUCUACAGUGGGAUGGAAAAUUUAAGUGUGAUAUUUAUAACCUAGUGGGUUCUACAUUUUGUAAAAUAGUAUGGCUCUUACAGUUAUUGAACUCACACUAAUAUAUAAUAGUGUUAUAAGUAUCAAACUCAAACUGUUUGUUUUUUAUAAACUAGUGUGAAGGACCUUAAUAGACAAACCCUCAGUUCAAACAUUAUUCUUACAAUAAUGUAUGCAUAUUUCGCAUGAAACUCGAAACAAAUACAAAACCAUCUCUUAUUAUUUACAUGAAAGAUAACAUAUUUUGAGAUUUAAAAAAAAAACCCCAAAGUCUAUAUGAGAAAUGUGGUUCUCUGAAAAAUAAUCCAUCAAGCAAAAAACCAUCUCUUAUUAUUUGGGGUUAAUAUUACACUUUGGAAUAAGGGUCAAGGGACAAAACCCCAGCAAAGCAACAGACAUACAACAUAGGAAAAAAAGGAAAUAACAAAGCCCUCCAACUUUUAUUGUUAUGCAUAUGAAUUAAUUUUUUUAUUUCCAGAUGCAUAUUAAUUAAUUAGUCCCAAUAUAGUCUGAUCAUCUGACAAGUAGGGGAGAAAACUGAGUCGGUGUAUACACCGGUUGUGUCAUACUCUCGCGCAUACAUAAUUGGUGUAUUCAUGAACCGUUCCAUGUAGGUUUUUAGCAUGUAAUAGAUUCACUGCGUAGUACGGCUGUCUCAACAGUGAGUCCUGGUCCGAUUCCAAUCACGACACCCCAUUCCAAACCUUCACCAGUUGUGGAUUUGCCUUCCUCAAUCGACUUCUUUCUCAUAUCAUCCAAAAUAAAGUGCACAGAUGGAGCUCCCAUGUUGCCAUACUCACUCAACACAUGCCUUGUUGCCCUAAGCUUCCCUUCCUUCAAACCCAAUUGCUCCUCCACCUGGUCUACAAUGGCGGGUCCACCAGGGUGCACACUGAAAAACAAGGAGUUCCAGUCCUUAUUCUUUCCGUCAACUUUUUCAAAAGUUUUAGUAAGAAAAUCCACAACAUUUCCACCAACAAAUUUGGGGACUUCUCCUGAUAAAUAAUAAGUAAACCCCAUUUCACGAAUGUUGGCCACCACACCAUGCUCUGAGUUAGGUAUGAUUGUCUGCCUGCAUGCCACGAUUUCAAACAGUGGCCUCUCAAUUUUAGGCUCUGGAUUGGCCCCAACUAUCACAGCAGAUGCUCCGUCAGCAAAAAGAGCCUGGCCCACCAAUAUGUCCAAGUGGGUGUCAGUGAGUCCGUGGAAGAACACGGUCGUGAUCUCAGCGCACACCACAAGGACCCGUGCACCCUCGUUGUUCUCUGCGAAGUCCUUGGCUAGACGGAGGACAGUUGCACCAGCAUAGCAACCAGCUUCGUAGAUCAUGGUUCUAGUGACAGAUGGGUUAAGACCGAGGAGCUUGACCAAUUGGAAGUCGGCACCUGGCAUGUCAACACAGGAAGCUGUGCAAAAGAUGAGGUGGGUGAUCUUUGAGAUGGGUUGGCCCCACUCUUUGAUGGCUUUCAGUGCUGCUUGUUGCCCUAGCUUUGGGACCUCAGGGUUCAACAUGUCUUGGCGCACAUCGAGUGAUGGGGCACCAUAGGUAUAUAUGCUUGGGUUAGCCUUUAGAAUCUCUUCUGUUAGAUGCAAGUAACGCUUUCUAGUUCUUGAUUUCUCACCUGUUAAUUAGUAAAUAAGUUAGGAUAUAUUUUAUAUCCUCAUCCUUAUGCAUCAAAUAAUACAAUGUCAUUUGGAAAAAAAAAACUUACACAUGGCAUCGUAUUAUUGGAUUGGAACGUCACAAUUUCUUGUACAAAAUACAUAUAUAUAUUUAGUUAAAUAUGUCUAGAAUGACUACUUGCUUGUGAUAAUAACAAUACAUAUUUUGAAAUGAACACGUCCUGUGGCACGUUGGGUUUGGGAUGUGAUUCACUCUAACCUCAUAAUAUGAUAGAGUUAGAGUACUUACAACUCAAGAUCAAAGUCAAUUCAUUGAGAGGUAAAAGAUCUUUCAUAUGAUUGCAUACAUGAUAUGUUUUAUUAGUAUGUAUUACUUGUAAAAAAUAUACUUACAAAUGCGAUCAAACUUCUCUCUUAAAUCUGUUCUGUGCUCAUUUUUGGUGACUCGAAACAAGAAAUCAGGAUAGUCUUUUUGGUAGUAGACGUUUGGUGGAUUUGCAGUGCCAAUGGCUAGGAUUUUGGCAUGUUGAGGCUCUCCAUGAUUCUUAACCAAAGGCGCCAUUGGGCAAGUUGAAGAGCAGAUAUAGAGUAGGGAUUUGUUGAAACUAGAAAGAGAGGGGGAGUCGAAAGGUUCCAAUAAAAUGAAUGGCACUACCCCUUUCCUUUUAUAGCAAUCAGAGAUGCUACUAACUUGUGGAAUCUUCAAAGUUUAGGAUAUUUUAAUGCACAUAUAUUUUCACACCAAUUAAGGCUGCGGAACAUACAUGAGAUUUUGAAAGGUUGAAUAUAUUUCCGCCAAUUUUGUGCUAGAUAAAUGUUAAACUUUCUCAAAAGUGAGUUUCUUCAUGUACUAUCUGUCAAUUCAUAUUUUUUGCCUAAUGUUUUAUAAUGUGGCACAUGAAUUAACAUUAAAUUUUAAGGUAAAAGAGAGUUCAUAGACAAUCUCACCUUGAGAAAGUUUCAUUUUGAAAAAGUCUCAUUAGCAUUUCGCUUUGCAAUCUUUAAAGAGUACGGUGACCAUUUUAUUUUGAUCACCUUUACAUGAUUUGCGAGAUGUCAUGUAAAUGCUGCAUCACUAAAUUUAAUGAGUUAACACUUUAGUUUAUAUUUUAUUUUAAUUAAUAUGAUUUAUUCUAAAAAAUAAUUUAGAGAGUCUUUCUUCUGCUUCUCAUCCCCAACCCAACCGUUAGCCACCAACCCCGAUCCCACCAACCCAAGUACCAUUAGGAAAUGACAUUGUGCCAAAUCAAGGGAUUGUAAGAGAGAGGGAGAGAGUAGUCGCCGGCAAGUGGUGACACCAGAGACAGGGGAUGAGGAAGGCGGCUGAUGGGUUGGCGUUGGCCAAUGUGCUUGGAAGUACAUCGUUGACCGCGGGAAGGUGGGUUGCUAGGGUUUUCUGCAUGCUUUGUUUACAAAUUACGAUUUAAUUAAAAGAUUAAAAGAUUAAAAAAAAUUAUAUAUAUAUAUAUAUAAACGAUAUUAUCUACGUUAAUAAUGAAGCACAUCUCUAUCUUUGAGCAAAAACUUAUUCACCACAAUAAGUAAUUACCUAUUGGUGAUUGUACUAAAUACUUAUAAGUAUUGUAGCCUCUCAUCCUUUCUCUCCCCUAUUUCAUUCGCAACGUUUCAACUAUCUAAUUUUGUGCCAAAAAAAAAAAGUUUCAACUCAAAUAUAGUGAAAUGCUUUCCUCCACGAGUAAUGUUAUUCAUACCAUGUUUUUAUAUCACAUUUUUAUAACACAUUAGGUGGCAUCUGAUGUGGACAGCCACAUCAUUUGAAAAAUUUGCAAAACCCAAGGAAAUGAAGGAGAAAAACUCCUCGUAUACUACAAUCAUCAUUUAAUCAACUAAUUUUUCUUAAUUAUUAGUUUAUUAAAUAAUGAACUAAAUUUAAAAAUCUGAUUAAUUCAAAUGAUAUGGCUAUCCACAUCAAAUGCCACUUAAGGUGGUAUGAAAAUGUGGUACAAAAACAUGAUAUGAAUAUCAUUACUCUUCCUCCACCCACCCUUAAAGUAAACAUAUCGUUGCAUUAAAAAACAAAUAAAGUAGUAAAAUACUCUCUUCCAUUCACCUCAUAAGUAAAUACAUCGUUGCAUUAAAAAAAAAUAUAGUGAAAUACAUAUUAUUGUAAUUGAAUUUAAGAUAAAAGAGUAUCUUGUUGAAUUGUAUAUAUUUAUAAAUAAAUAUGAAAAAUAUAAAAAUAUGACAAUACAGCUACAAUGUAAUAAGGAACUAGGAAGGCAUCUUCUUAUUAAUUUUAAGUUUAAACAUACAAUAUUAGACAAAGUUGAGGUUUUGGACUACAACAGCAACAAAUUGUCGAUCCACAAUAACAAUUUUUUGGUCUGGGUUACAUAUAAAAAAUGAUUAGUGGUACUCCUAACCCUUCCCAGGGUCAGCAUAUUUAUAAAUAAAUAUGAAAAAUAUAAAAAUAUGACAAUACAGCUACAAUGUAACAAGGAACUAGGAAGGCAUCUUCUUACUUAUUCCAUGUUAGUGUAAUAUUUUAAGUUUAAACAUACAGUAUUAGAGAAGUUGAGGUUUUGGACUACAACAGCAACAAAUUGUCGAUCCACAGUAACAAUUUUUUGGUCUGGAUUACAUAUAAAAAAUGAUUAGUGGUACUCCUAACCCUUCCCAGGGUCAGCAUAUUUAUAAAUAAAUAUGAAAAAUAUAAAAAUAUGACAAUACAGCUACGUGUAAUAAGGAAGUAGGAAGGCAUCUUCUUACGUAUUCAAUGUUAAUGUAAUAUUUUAAGUUUAAACAUACAAUAUUAGAGAAGUUGAGGUUUUGGACUACAGCAGCAACAAAUUGUCGAUCCACAAUAACAAUUUUUUGGUCUGGGUUACAUAUAAAAAAUGAUUAGUAGUACUCCUAACCCUUCCCAGGGUCAGCAUAUUUAUAAAUAAAUAUGAAAAAUAUAAAAAUAUGACAAUACAGCUACAAUGUAAUAAGGAAGUAGGAAGGCAUCUUCUUACGUAUUCCAUGUUAAUGUAAUAUUUUAAGUUUUAACAUACAAUAUUAGAGAAGUUGAGGUUUUGGACUACAACAGCAACAAAUUGUCGAUCCACAAUAACAAUUUUUUGGUCUGGGUUACAUAUAAAAAAUGAUUAGUGGUACUCCUAACCCUUCCCAGGGUCAGCUAGAUUGGUGAAGUGCAUGUAGUUGGAAAAAUGAGUUAAGAAUUAUUAAACUAGGUUGGUAUUUUCUUCGGUGAUGAUAAUCCUAUGUACAUAUGCAAAAUGAAUAGUCGUACUCCUAACUCUUUCUAGGGCAGCUGGAUUGGUGAAGUGAAAGUGGUUGGAAAAUUGAGUUAAGAAUGAUUAAACUAGGUUAAUGUUUUAAUUCUAUCUAAGAGCAAUUCCACCCCAGUGGAAUUUGCCCAGGACCCAGCACAAAAACAAGGCCAGCACCCUGUCAACCAAGUCCACCCCCUCAACUUGACUGGUACCCAGCCCGAGCUGGGCUUUGGCCCAGCCCAAACGAGACUGAGCAAGAAGCUGGGCAGUUUGCCUAGCGCGUGCGCUUCAUGGAGGCGCUAGCGCGAGUGCCCGACAAGAUUUCAGAGGGCGGGCCCGCGUGUAGGCGCACUCAGUUCCCCCCCGAGUUGGCGACGUGGCUCCCUUUGUGCCGUUGGAUUUCCAACGGCUAGUUUUCUAGACCGUUGGAUUUCCAACGGUAAAAAAAUUUAAAUUUUACUUUUAAAAUAUACCGUCGGAUCAAAGAUCAAUGGUCCACGUUUUUUUUUCACAAAAAAGUAAAAAAAAAAAAAAAGGCCCAACGGUCAGAAAUAACCGUUGGCCACGUGGCAACUCCCUGUCUCUUGGAUUUGAAUAUUUUUCAAAUCCAACGGUCCAAAUUAAUUAACUAUAUUAAAAUUCAUUAAAAAUUAUUAAAAAAAUACAGAAAAAUUAUUAAAAAAUAUAGAAAAUUUUGAAAAAUGUUAAAUUUUUUCCUAUAAAUACCUAACCCUCAUCUUCCACCUUUACACCACAUUUCAAUAUUUUCUACACUUUCUAUACUAUCUACAUUUCAAUAUUUUCUACACUUUAAGAGAAAAAAAUGUCUUCGUGGAAGCUCAUUGAAGAUAUUACGUUGUGUGAAUGUUGGGUUCACACUACUCAUGACCCAAUUACGGGUAAUGAGAUGGAUAAGCGAGAAAUGUGGAGUAAAAUUACGAAAGCAUUUUGCGAUGUACAUGAAGAAAACGCCAGAACUAGUCAAGGUCUUCAAGGUCGGUAAAAUUCUACCUGUUGUGCCAACAACCUUUGUUGUUGCUCCUACAACUGUUUAUACACCCUUCUUGAAGAAGACAUUGUAAUAAGAACUCAAGAUUUGAAAACGAUGAACAAGGAUUCUGAGCUAAAAAGAAGGAUUGAGCUUGGUGUGAGGAUGGAUGUAGGGAUGUAGGGUUUAUAUGGACAAAAAAAGAAAGGAUGAAGUUCUGGACAAUGCCACGUGGCACUACGUGAUUGGUUGAAAAUCUUAUCGAAAUCUUGGCUAAAUUAUUGUAAACCGGAAGUGACACGUGGCGUGUCGGGAUUGGUCGAAAAUAUUAUCGGAAAUCUAUCCACAAAAUAGUACAUUCAGAUAAUGACACAUGGCAUGACGUGAUUGGUUGAAAAUCUUAUUGAAAUCUUGGCUAAAUUAUUGUAAAACGGAAGUGACACGUGGCGUGUCGGGAUUGGUUGAAAAUCUUAGCGGAAAUCUAUUCACAAAAUAGUACGUUCAGAUAAUGACAUGUGGCGUGACGAGAUUGGUUAAAAAUCCUAUCCGAAAUUAAAACUAUUUUAUUUUUUUAUUCUUUUAGACAAAAUUUAAAAAUAUUUUAAAUGGGUUGGGUGCCAGCGCAUUUUGUAGGGAUGGAGAUCGUUUGUGCCAGCGCAUUUUUUCACUAGGUGCCAGCGCAUUUUUUAGAGGUGGAGAUGUCUUGGCCUAUUACUGAUAAUUGGAGUCUGUUACUGUUCAUUUGAGUGGAUAAAUGCGCUGGGUGCUGGCGCAAAGUCCUUAGGGGUGAAAUUGCUCUAAAAUGAUAAAGCAAUUAAACACACAAAAUAAAAUUAUAUGGUACCCAAAAUAACAUUGACGAAGUAAAAAAUAGGUACAACCAUGUGAUGUUACUAUUUCAUUUGGUAUUAUUAUUUUACGUGUUACUAUUUUGCUUAAAUCAUAACACAUAUUUUUUUAAGCCUAGAAGUUGGAUAUAUUAAUCAUGCCGUUUACUCUUAUUACAACACGAAGGAUUGAUACACCGCUGAUUUGUUAUCUCAAUAGCUAAAAAAUUUCUCCACCAACCAAAUAUUAAACACGUCAAGCAGUACACAGUUUCUCCAUACACACCACGACAGCACAAAUUGCACUCUCCACCUCACAAUAUGAUUUCAUAGUCUCAUAUGUAUCUUACUUUGACUUAUUCAUGCACCGUUUGUUUGACUACAUGCAUUGCAUGCAUAUAAGAUAACAUCUAUUUUAUGUCGGUAUAAAAUAUCGUAGUUCUGAUAACGUAAAGCAUCUCACUAGGUUAAUUUUCUAAUUUAUAUAAAUAGUAUACCUAUCUAAGUGCUUGCCAUUCUUGGAAGUUGCCUUUUUUGAAAUAUAUGACAACAAAGAAUAUCAAAACCAAUUGUAGGUACAGUGAGUCCAUAUUGAAAAUGGUAGGUUCAAGGUGCUGCCACUAUAUUUCUCUUAUCAUAUUGUUAUGUUCUUUAGCUUAAAAUGUCCCUUUUUUUUUUCUUUUUCUACGGUCUUUCACGGUGGCUUACUCCUUUUUUUCUUUAUUUCAGUCCAUGUGAGACUUUAAAGAGUUUUCACGGUGGCUUACUGUUGUUAAGGUUCUUCCAAGUUGGUUUUAAGAAUUAUAAUUUUUUUUAGUAGGAUACUAAACAUGUUCUAAAAAUUUUACUAUCCUUUGUGUGAGUUUACAAAUUAAUUACAGUGUAUUUUUGCUCACCACUUCAUGUGGCAGUAAUGCUUAUUACUCUAUUUAUCAUUGUUGGAUGAGUUUAAAUUUUGAGAUUUGUGUUUAUUUACUAUAUUGAUCUAAAAUGUAAACUUAUCUAAUGGUGGUAAAUAAGGUGGUGAGCAAAAAUAUUCCCCUUUUUUGUCACCACCCUAAAGUGGUGGUAAUGCUCACCCCCUACUCAUUACCAUUGGAUGAGUUUAAAUUUUGAGAUUACUAUACAAAUCUCGAUUUUUUUAGCACGACGAUAUAUUUUACGCUAAGUGAAGGGGGAGUUCAGCUAAACCACACAAUGGGCAACCUAAUUUGGUAUCAAAUUCGUCAUCCAUGAGAUCCGAACCUAAGACCUCUCAAAUACAAGUGAAGAGGAAUACUAUUAGAUUAUAGUACUAAGUGGCAACAUAUCUCUAAAUUUAAACUCAUAUAACGAUAAGCAUUACCAUCACUUAAGAGUGAUGAGCAAAAACAUUCCCAAAUUAAUUAAUAGUUAAUAGUAAUUUGACCCUAUUAUUCCACAUUUUUUUGCAAAAAUAUUCUUGAUCAGGUUUUUUUAUUUUUAUUUUUUUUAAACGAUAUUAUCUACAUUAUGAGGGAGCGAGCUAAGCCUCACAAUGGGCUAGCAAUAAUGUGGUUCAAAUUCACCUACUGUCUAGUGGUAUCCUCAUCACUUGUAAUGGGAGGUCUUAGGUGCGAUUCUCGCCAAACGCGAGUUUGAACCACAUUAUUGCUAGCCCAUUGUGAGGCUAAGUCCACCCCCUCCCCCAUACACCUACUCCAACCCUUGGAGUAAAACUCCAAUUUUAUGUUCUAAACUUACCCCAACUUACUCCAUCCCUUAGGACAUAAUAUGAGUUUUAACCCAAAACCACUUCUAGGGCAAGUUUAGCCCAGGAUUUCCCCAGGUUAGUAGGGUUGGCCCACUAUAUAUGUGUAUUUUUUGUAGUUUUAUAUUUAUUAAUUCAUUGAAUCCAACAACUAAGAUCUAAUAUGAUCAAAUUCAAUGGUAAAAAAAAAUCUAACGUCCAAAUUUAAAUCCAACUGCUAAAGUAAUUAUAAAAAAUUCUUUUAUGUGUUUCAUGUUCUUUUAUAUUGUUCCACGACUUUUACGGUGUUGGUUAAGUGAUUUUUCAAUAUUUAUCGGAAUCUAAAUAUUUUUAGGUUAAAUGUUCAUAAAAUUAAAUUAGUAUAGUCUACAUAAUUUUUUUUUUAAAGUUACUUUAAAAAAAAACUAUCCUAAAUUUAUUUUUUAAUAAUCUCGGGCUAAAAAUUUAACCUAGAAGGAUUGGAGGAGAAAAACUGUAUUUGGGUUAAAACCUAAAUUUUUUGGGUUAAAAAUUUUAAAUUUUAACCCAAGGGUUGGAGAUGGUCUUAGUGUCGAUAACAUCGUUUGUUCAAAAAAAAAAACUUAAUUUUCUUUACAUCAUAACAUAUUUUUCUAACGAAUGCCUUAUGACUAGGCUCCACCUAAGCAAAUUACCUAUUUGAGACUGUUUGUCAUAUUUAAUAUUCUUCGAGUUCCCUAAAUUACCUUAAAUUAUAUUAUUAGCAUUUAUGUUGAUAUGAAAAUUAAAAUGUAAAGCUUUUUUAUUUGCUUGUAACGUGUAUAGUGGCUUUGUAAUUGUAACUAAUGUAGGAAUAAAUUCAAAAAGUGUUUUGUGAGACCAUAAUUUUUAGGGUUGAAGUAAGACUAAUCGGAACACGUACUUAUCUAAAAAAUUCGGUCAUGGACUCAACAGCUUUGGAUUCUCAUAGUUAUUAAACUCAAAGUAUAACAAUACUGUUAUAAGUAUUAAACUCAAGUUGUCUAAUUUUUAUAAACUAAUGUGGAAGACCUUAAUAAGACAAACCGUUGGUUGGAACAUUGCUCUUACAAUGAUGUAUGAAUAUUUCUCAUGAAACUCGAAGCAAUUACAAAACCCCAUCUUUUAUUAUUUACAUGAAACAUUUUUUUUUUUUUUUUUUGAGAUUUGGAAAAAAAAAUACCAAAGUCUAUAUGAGAAAUGAGGUUCUCUGGAGGAUGAUCAAUAAAACAAAAAACCAUCUCUUAUUAUUUGGGGUUAAUAGUACACUUUGGAUAACGAGGGGACAAAACGCCCAGCGAAGCAACAGACAUUUUUUUUAACAGACGUAAACAUGGACAGAAAAAGCAGGAACAGACAAAGCAACAGACUGCAUAAAAAAAAGAGGAACAAACAAAGCUCUCCAAAUUAUACUCUCUCGCAUACACAAUCAGUGUACACCGUUCCAUACAAGUAUUUAGUAUGUAAUAGAUUCACUACGCAGUAUGACUGUCUCGACAGUGAGUCCCGGUCCAAUUCCAAUCACGACACCCCAUUCUAAACCUUCACCAGUUGUGGCUUUGCCUUCCCCAAUCGACUUAUUUCUCAUCUCAUCCAAAAUAAAGUGCACCGAUGGAGCUCCCAUGUUGCCAUACUCACUCAACACAUGCCUUGUAGCCCUAAGCUUCCCUUCCUUCAAACCCAAUUGCUCCUCCACCUGGUCUACAAUGGCAGGCCCACCAGGGUGCACACUGAAAAACAAGGAGUUCCAGUCCUUAUUCUUUCCGUCAACCUUUUCAAAAGUUUUAGUCAGAAAAUCCACAACACUUCCACCAACAAAUUUGGGGACUUCUCCCGAUAAAUAAUAAUUAAACCCCAUUUCACGAAUGUUGGCCACUACACCAUGCUCUGAGUUAGGUAUGAUCGUCUGCCUGCAUGCCACGUUUUCAAACAGCGGCCUCUCAAUUUUAGGCUCUGGAUUAGCCCCAACUAUCACAGCAGAUGCUCCGUCAGCAAAAAGAGCCUGGCCCACCAGUAUGUCAAGGUGGGUGUCAGUGAGUCCGUGGAAAAACCGGUCGUGAUCUCGGUGCACACCACAAGGACGCGUGCACCCUCAUUGUUCUCUGUGAAGUCCUUGGCCAGGCGGAGGACAGUCGCACCAGCAUAGCAACCAGCUUCAUAGAUCAUGGUUCUGGUGACGGAUGGGUUAAGGCCGAGGAGCUUGACCAAUUGGAAGUCGGCACCUGGCAUGUCAACGCAAAAAGCUGUGCAAAAGAUGAGGUGGGUGAUCUUUGAGAUGGGCUGGCCCCACUCUUUGAUGGCUUUUAGUGCUGCUUGUUGCCCUAGCUUUGGGACCUCAGGGUUCAACAUGUCUUGGCGCACAUCGAGUGAUGGGGCUCCAUAGGUAUAUAUGCUCGGGUUAGCAUUUAGAAUCUCUUAUGUUAGAUACAAGUAGCGCUUUCUUGUUUUUGACUUCUCACCUGUUAAUUAGUAAUUAAGUUAGGACAUGUUUUAUAUCCUUGUGCAU
rnacentral:lncRNA from 1 species